AUGAACGCUGGCGGCGUGCCUAAUACAUGCAAGUCGAGCGAACAGACGAGGAGCUUGCUCCUCUGACGUUCGCGGCGGACGGGUGAGUAACACGUGGAUAACCUACCUAUAAGACUGGGAUAACUUCGGGAAACCGGAGCUAAUACCGGAUAAUAUAUUGAACCGCAUGGUUCAAUAGUGAAAGACGGUUUUGCUGUCACUUAUAGAUGGAUCCGCGCCGCAUUAGCUAGUUGGUAAGGUAACGGCUUACCAAGGCGACGAUGCGUAGCCGACCUGAGAGGGUGGUCGGCCACACUGGAACUGAGACACGGCCCAGACUCCUACGGGAGGCAGCAGUAGGGAAUCUUCCGCAAUGGGCGAAAGCCUGACGGAGCAACGCCGCGUGAGUGAUGAAGGUCUUCGGAUCGUAAAACUCUGUUAUUAGGGAAGAACAAAUGUGUAAGUAACUAUGCACGUCUUGACGGUACCUAAUCAGAAAGCCACGGCUAACUACGUG
rnacentral:rRNA from 1 species